rnacentral:tRNA from 1 species
GUAAAUAUAGUUUAACUAAAACAUUAGAUUGUGAAUCUAAUAAUAGAAGUUUAAACCUUCUUACUUACC